UUACCAUGGGGAACAGCGUCAGGCUUCGGUGAACUGUCUUCUAGCAGGGAGGCAAGAUUUACACAUACAGAGCAGCGUGUGAUCACAGGCUACAGUGGAUUCACUGAAGCGUUGUAAGUUUAGACAACACGUUGGUCCUGUGACAGCCAGUAAAAGGAGUAUUUAUCUCCUCCAUUAAGAGGAGCUAUGAGGGAGGCAUCCUUGGAGCAAGUGAGAUUAAGGGGUGGCCUUGUGAGAAGGAAGAGAAGAGACUGGUUCAGGCCAAAGGAAUGGCGGGAGGAAAGGGACAGUGCCAGGCGCACACAUUCGUUUGCUCUUUGUUCCUCUUGUUUACUCAUUCAUCCAUCCAAAAAUACUUAAUGAGCCCUGCUGUGUGCCAGGCACUGUUCCAGCUUUAGGGACAGAGCUGUGGGCACCUCUAGUCCCUAAAGUUUAUAAAGAUAACAAACAAAUAUUACAAGUGAGCAAAGCAUUAGCUAGAAAAGCACUGGGUGUCUUAAGGGCAUUGAAUAGGCAGGGGCAGAAAGAGGGCUAACAAGGGCUGAAGGAUAAGGGGGGCAGCCUGGAAAUGUGACAUGAGGCGUUGAGGAAUAGCAAGAAGUGUUCCAAGCAUGAAGUUCCAGGGACAGGAAUGAGCUAGACUCUCAAAAGUCACUUGAAGUCCUGCGUGGCCAGAGUGUAGGAAGUCUAGGGAAGGGCAGUGGGGUGGAGGGAGGAGUGAGUGAACAAGUUGGGGUGGGAAGGUGAGGAGUAGGGGGUGGAUAAGGUCAGGCAGAGGUCACACAGAACCUUCUGGGCCAUGAUAAG
rnacentral:lncRNA from 1 species